GAUGAACGCUGGCGGCGUGCCUAAUACAUGCAAGUCGAGCGAACGGACGAGAAGCUUGCUUCUCUGAUGCUAGCGGCGGACGGGUGAGUAACACGUGGAUAACCUACCUAUAAGACUGGGAUAACUCCGGGAAACCGGAGCUAAUACCGGAUAAUAUUUUGAACCGCAUGGUUCAAAAGUGAAAGACGGUCUUGCUGUCACUUAUAGAUGGAUCCGCGCUGCAUUAGCUAGUUGGUAAGGUAACGGCUUACCAAGGCAACGAUGCAUAGCCGACCUGAGAGGGUGAUCGGCCACACUGGAACUGAGACACGGUCCAGACUCCUACGGGAGGCAGCAGUAGGGAAUCUUCCACAAUGGGCGAAAGCCUGACGGAGCAACGCCGCGUGAGUGAUGAAGGUCUUCGGAUCGUAAAACUCUGUUAUUAGGGAAGAACAUAUGUGUAAGUAACUGUGCACAUCUUGACGGUACCUAAUCAGAAAGCCACGGCCAACUACGUG
rnacentral:rRNA from 1 species